rnacentral:rRNA from 1 species
AUUGAACGCUGGCGGCAGGCCUAACACAUGCAAGUCGGACGGUAGCACAGAGAGCUUGCUCUCGGGUGACGAGUGGCGGACGGGUGAGUAAUGUCUGGGAAACUGCCCGAUGGAGGGGGAUAACUACUGGAAACGGUAGCUAAUACCGCAUAACGUCUUCGGACCAAAGUGGGGGACCUUCGGGCCUCACACCAUCGGAUGUGCCCAGAUGGGAUUAGCUAGUGGGUGGGGUAAUGGCUCACCUAGGCGACGAUCCCUAGCUGGUCUGAGAGGAUGACCAGCCACACUGGAACUGAGACACGGUCCAGACUCCUACGGGAGGCAGCAGUGGGGAAUAUUGCACAAUGGGCGCAAGCCUGAUGCAGCCAUGCCGCGUGUAUGAAGAAGGCCUUCGGGUUGUAAAGUACUUUCAGCGGGGAGGAAGGCGAUGGAGUUAAUAGCUUCAUCGAUUGACGUUACCCGCAGAAGAAGCACCGGCUAACUCCGUGCCAGCAGCCGCCGUAA